UACGAAGGGGGCUAGCGUUGCUCGGAAUCACUGGGCGUAAAGGGUGCGUAGGCGGGUCUUUAAGUCAGUGGUGAAAGCCCCAAGCUUAACUUGGGAACUGCCAUUGAUACUGAUGGUCUUGAGUACAUUUGAGGUGGGCGGAAUGUGUCAUGUAGCGGUGAAAUGCUUAGAUAUGACACAGAACACCGAUUGCGAAGGCAGCUCACUAAACUGUAACUGACGCUGAGGCACGAAAGCGUGGGGAGCAAACAGG
rnacentral:rRNA from 1 species